UGGCGGACGGGUGAGUAAUGUCUGGGAAACUGCCUGAUGGAGGGGGAUAACUACUGGAAACGGUAGCUAAUACCGCAUAAUGUCGCAAGACCAAAGAGGGGGACCUUCGGGCCUCUUGCCAUCGGAUGUGCCCAGAUGGGAUUAGCUAGUAAGUGGGGUAACGGCUCACCUAGGCGACGAUCCCUAGCUGGUCUGAGAGGAUGACCAGCCACACUGGAACUGAGACACGGUCCAGACUCCUACGGGAGGCAGCAUG
rnacentral:rRNA from 1 species